rnacentral:lncRNA from 1 species
GGCAUGGUGGCUCAUGAGCUGCUGCCUUGAUGGUGCUGACGGGUAAAAAAGGAUCAUGUUAUCAGCAGCUCUCUGUGAGGUUCCUGAGGGAUGGCUGGAGCUCCUGCAGCAAGACCGCCUCAUCCAGCCCGUACAUACAGAGGCAGAGCAGGACGAUGCUCUGCCUGGAGUGCACCACCCACCAUGUGCUCCUGGAGAUGCUCCGGAACUCCCGGUCGAGCCACCGGAGCAGGGGUCUGAGGUUGGGCUGCUGCUGGAAAAAGGCAGCCCAGACCUCAGGAGGGAAGCUGUUCUCUGGAGCGACGAAUGCUGGCUCUGCGGGCCACUGCUCACCCUGCAGGCCAGAACCAGAGCGUGCUGCGGGCUGUGGGACGGCACACUCGAGGCGCUGCAGCGGGCAGAAGGUGUCACAAACUGGAAAAGAGAGAGAGAGGCUGCGGUCACUCCCUGUCCCCGGGGCAGGCAGCAGUGAUGCCCGGUCCCUGAGCAGCAAACCCACGCCAGGGCCGUGUCCCCGCACCGCUCACCUCUGCUGCUGCGAGCGCACUUGGUGCAGCUCCGGCUGCCUGAGCCAGGCAGGGCCGGAGAAACACUGGUGAUGCUGUGGGCCGGGCACCCCAAAGUGCUGCCAGCAGCCAC